rnacentral:rRNA from 1 species
UACGGGGGAUGCAAGCGUUAUCCGGAUUUAUUGGGUUUAAAGGGUGCGUAGGCUGUGAGGUAAGUCAGCGGUGAAAUGCCCCCGCUCAACGGGGUGAAGUGCCAUUGAUACUGCCUUGCUGGAAUGCGGAUGCCGUGGGAGGAAUGUGUGGUGUAGCGGUGAAAUGCGUAGAUAUCACACAGAACACCGAUUGCGAAGGCAUCUCACGAAUCCGCGAUUGACGCUGAUGCACGAAAGCGUGGGUAUCAAACAGG